AAGAGGAUGGUUGGGGCAGGGUCAGGUGGGCCGCACUGGUGUGCCCAGGACCUGCCCGCUCCGAGUGGACCCGACAGCACGGGGGUGGCCUGACGCCGGCUGAGAUGCAGAAUCAGGCCUCUGAGCUACUGAGCUGGAAUCUGCCUUUUGGCCGGACCCGGUUGAUUGGAACCGCGUUCAUUUGAGGAAUGCUCCCUGCGACCAGAGCUCCACCAGGACACUCCUUCCCUCCGCCGGCCACGUUUGCAGGGAGCCCCUGAGAGGCAGCGGCAGCCCGGAUGCUGAAUCCCAUUCGCCCCGGUCAUUUCCGGAGCGUCUUCCAGCCCGUUCCCCGCCAUGACAGCGACGUGUGCUUUGAGCUCAGUCCACAGCAAAGACCACCUUGGUUCUUGUCCCGCCGCAACCACAUCCGAAGAAAGGGGUCAGGUAUUCUAGGCGUACGGGGACUGAUAAAUUCCAAAAAUAUGUUGCCUAGAAAAGAUUGUUAAAAAUAUAAAGGCAAGUUUUAUUCAUUAAUGUUCCCUUGCGCUGUCUGUGAAGAAAGGUAGGUUAAAGAGGUACUUCGAAGCAAAUCUGUACCAGGAAAAUAGAAUUUGUUUUCACAUCUUUUGAAAGAUAAGUGAAAUUCCUUCAGAGUCCACACCCAUGCUUUUAUAAACCUCUGAUACACUAACAAAUCCAAAGAAAAAUUGAAAACAAGCGAGAAAAAGGAGACAGAAAAUGCACAAGAUACACCGCCCUUUUUGUUUGUUUGUGAUUCAGGGCUCAGGAUUGACUGGGUCCUCGGGAGGGGACUCGAGGGCAGAAGGAUCUAUUAAUCUUACAACUAUGUGUUUCAUUUUCCAAGUGGUCAGUUUUUUAGGUUACUUUAUGAAAAACUGAAAUGGAACACAGAAUAUGAACAAUUUCUCAGGGUAAGAGCAGCUAGAUGUAAAAAUAACAUAAUGCAAUUAAAGAAGAAAUCUUCCAGCAAAUAGAACCCCAUUUCGGGGAUUUUCACCGUGGGCGUGAGGGUCACACAAGACUGAAGCCCGCCCAGGAGCAGGCGAGGUCACUGCAGGUGGUCAGUUACAGAGCUCUGCGUCAUAGCCCUCUGGCCCCAGACAAAAUUCACUCAUCUAUACAUUUGCUUGAAAAUGCAUUAUUUGAUAUUCAUUUUGUAUACUUAAAUACAAAAUGAAAUGUAACCUGAUAUUGAAAAUAAAAACUCCAGGCAACGUCUACAUUUCUAUGUAUUUAGUCUUUUCAAGGUCUACAUUUUAAAAGCAAGAAAUGAACAAAGUUAGGAAUACAUUAUUACUCUGGCAGGAAAAUUAGACGGAUUGAUGAAGUGGGUUCUGUCUAUUGUUAUUUAUCCUACUAGAAAUUAAACUAAAAAAACUUAAAAUGUUUUUAUUCUUUAAUUAAAAGCACAAUAGUAAAUCCAUUACAUGCCAACAUAAAUAACGUGUAAUGAAAAAUAAAUGUAAUUUUUGAACCAAA